rnacentral:lncRNA from 1 species
GACUUAUUAUUUGAUGUUUUAUUAUUAUUUACAAUUAUUGUUAAUUGAAAUUUAUAUAUAAAUUUUUUUUUCAUAUGUCUAGAAGAACAGUAUUAUCUUAGAGGUAGAGGGCAUGGCCAGCAGCUCUCUAUGAAUGAAAGACAUGAGGCAACAGAGAUGCAAAAGGAAACACGAGAGCAUACUCCACAAGCAAAUAUAUUUUCAUCAUCACACAACUGUAGAUUCUACUUCUCCAUCAGAUGUUUCAGCAAACUGAUAGACUUGUUUUAAAUUUUAUGAAUAUUGUUAAGUAUAUGGAUUUGUUCUAAACUUUCGAUUUUGUAAACAUUGUGAAGUAUUUGUGUGUAUGAAUAUGAAUUAUAAUGAUUAUGAAUGACUUUUAAUUUAUAUUAAAUUUAUUUUUUAGUUGUAAA